rnacentral:lncRNA from 1 species
AUGGAACAAAUUGUGGGUUUAUGGCUCCCGUGUGUGUGGGGGGCCGUAAAUCUCCCAACUUUUAACGCAUCUGUUCUUUUCCGAGCAGCCUACCAAGGGCUCGAGGAGGAGAGGGAGAAAUAUCCGACGUUUCCUGACAUCGGCUGCCCUCGGGAGUUCCUCAGGAAGGUUUUUAAAGGAAUAUUUAUGGAUGAUCCUGGUGAAUCAGGCCCUAAAAGAGCUGAGAGUGUUCCUGCCUUGGGAACAUCCCAGCUCCAAGGCUGGAGGAUGGGCAAGGAAAGGGUCAGGACACAUCCCCCCGACUGCGAGCUGAAGAAAAAUGUUGGCACAGCAAAGCCUGCCACAGGAAGAAAAGGUUGUCCUGGCUGUUCAUAUUCCUCCACACGGGGUCCCAUCGGAAUUUUCCCCUUCGAAAACUCCAUUCCCUGUGCCAGCAGCACAUUAAGACAUCGCAGCUUUCCCUCUCCGGCUUUCCCUGGUUCACAAUUCCCAUUUUUUGAGGUCGAGUCCUGGCUGAGGCUGUGUGGAGCUCUGGUACCAUCUACUGGGGGAAGCCUCAGCUGCUGGACGUGGCUUUUCCUCGCUGAUGUCGCGACAGAAGUGGUGACAGCAGGACUGGGAGGGGAACAACCCAAAAUCACCCAGACCUGGGGGUACUGGUGACAGCAGCUGAACAUGAGGCAGCAGAGUUCUUCUGGUGGCCAAGAAGGACAAUGUCCCUGGCCUGGAUCAGGAAUGGUGUGGCCAGCAGGAGCAGGGAGCUCAUUCUUUCCCUGUACUCAGCACUGGUGAGGUCACACCUCGAGUGCUGUGUCCAGUCCUGGUCCCUCAGUUUGGGAAGGACAUGGAGAGCCUGUCCACAGGACUGGUGAAGGACUGGGUGUCGCCCUGAGAAUCAGACAUUUAGAUAUUGUUUUCAUAAUUUCUAGCUACUUUCCCGGGAAAGUAACUGUAAACAUAGGUGUUUAUACAUUCCAUUAAAGAUGUACCUUUUGAUGGAUGUCUCUCACUCCCAGUGUGGUUGGGAAGGUGGUAAGCUGACUAUCUGGUCAGGUUGUCGAAAACCUAUAAAUACUGAAAGAAC